GAUGAACGCUAGCUACAGGCUUAACACAUGCAAGUCGAGGGGCAGCGGGAUUGAAGCUUGCUUCAAUUGCCGGCGACCGGCGCACGGGUGAGUAACGCGUAUCCAACCUUCCGUACACUCAGGGAUAGCCUUUUCGAAAAGAAAGAUUAAUACCUGAUGGUAUGAUGAGAUUGCAUGAUAGCAUCAUUAAAGAUUUAUCGGUGUACGAUGGGGAUGCGUUCCAUUAGGUAGUAGGCGGGGUAACGGCCCACCUAGCCAACGAUGGAUAGGGGUUCUGAGNGGAAGGUCCCCCACAUUGGAACUGAGACAC
rnacentral:rRNA from 1 species